rnacentral:lncRNA from 1 species
ACCGCCCCGGGCCUUGGGCGGGGCGGGGGCCAGGGAAGGGCGUGCGCAGGAUUGGGGAGCACGUUUUGCGUCUUGCUGUGCGUGAGGAAGCGGGGAUCCAGGUCAAGGCUAUGGAAAGGUCAGGGAAGGGUGUCAGUGCGCCCGUCCUGCAGGGAGUCCAGAUCCGAGAGGCAGGACUUUGAAAUGACCCUGUCCUCAGCCUGGAGGAUGCGGUAUUCUGAUUGUCUGGUGCUGUGUCAACUGGGCCUGCCUCUGGGAUAGUGUUGUGGCUGCCCCACGAGAACCCUAUAUGCCAGUUCCAGAAGCAAAA